GACGAACGCUGGCGGCGUGCCUAAUACAUGCAAGUCGAACGAACUCUGGUAUUGAUUGGUGCUUGCAUCAUGAUUUACAUUUGAGUGAGUGGCGAACUGGUGAGUAACACGUGGGAAACCUGCCCAGAAGCGGGGGAUAACACCUGGAAACAGAUGCUAAUACCGCAUAACAACUUGGACCGCAUGGUCCGAGUUUGAAAGAUGGCUUCGGCUAUCACUUUUGGAUGGUCCCGCGGCGUAUUAGCUAGAUGGUGGGGUAACGGCUCACCAUGGCAAUGAUACGUAGCCGACCUGAGAGGGUAAUCGGCCACAUUGGGACUGAGACACGGCCCAAACUCCUACGGGAGGCAGCAGUAGGGAAUCUUCCACAAUGGACGAAAGUCUGAUGGAGCAACGCCGCGUGAGUGAAGAAGGGUUUCGGCUCGUAAAACUCUGUUGUUAAAGAAGAACAUAUCUGAGAGUAACUGUUCAGGUAUUGACGGUAUUUAACCAGAAAGCCACGGCUAACUACGUGCCAGCAGCCGCGGUAAUACGUAGGUGGCAAGCGUUGUCCGGAUUUAUUGGGCGUAAAGCGAGCGCAGGCGGUUUUUUAAGUCUGAUGUGAAAGCCUUCGGCUCAACCGAAGAAGUGCAUCGGAAACUGGGAAACUUGAGUGCAGAAGAGGACAGUGGAACUCCAUGUGUAGCGGUGAAAUGCGUAGAUAUAUGGAAGAACACCAGUGGCGAAGGCGGCUGUCUGGUCUGUAACUGACGCUGAGGCUCGAAAGUAUGGGUAGCAAACAGGAUUAGAUACCCUGGUAGUCCAUACCGUAAACGAUGAAUGCUAAGUGUUGGAGGGUUUCCGCCCUUCAGUGCUGCAGCUAACGCAUUAAGCAUUCCGCCUGGGGAGUACGGCCGCAAGGCUGAAACUCAAAGGAAUUGACGGGGGCCCGCACAAGCGGUGGAGCAUGUGGUUUAAUUCGAAGCUACGCGAAGAACCUUACCAGGUCUUGACAUACUAUGCAAAUCUAAGAGAUAGACGUUCCCUUCGGGGACAUGGAUACAGGUGGUGCAUGGUUGUCGUCAGCUCGUGUCGUGAGAUGUUGGGUUAAGUCCCGCAACGAGCGCAACCCUUAUUAUCAGUUGCCAGCAUUAAGUUGGGCACUCUGGUGAGACUGCCGGUGACAAACCGGAGGAAGGUGGGGAUGACGUCAAAUCAUCAUGCCCCUUAUGACCUGGGCUACACACGUGCUACAAUGGAUGGUACAACGAGUUGCGAACUCGCGAGAGUAAGCUAAUCUCUUAAAGCCAUUCUCAGUUCGGAUUGUAGGCUGCAACUCGCCUACAUGAAGUCGGAAUCGCUAGUAAUCGCGGAUCAGCAUGCCGCGGUGAAUACGUUCCCGGGCCUUGUACACACCGCCCGUCACACCAUGAGAGUUUGUAACACCCAAAGUCGGUGGGGUAACCUUUUAGGAACCAGCCGCCUAAGGUGGGACAGAUGAUUAGGGUG
rnacentral:rRNA from 2 species